UUGAAUUUUGCGGGGUGUGGACCCCUUCGUCUUUUAAUGUAAAAUUAUCAUGAUCUUACACCUGUUCGAUAAAAUUUUCAGCGGCCGAUGUUGGGUCCAACUCAUUUGGAUGUUUGCCACGUGUAGAGCCAUUGAUUGAUUAAAGAAGUUGACACACGAGAUUGUGAAAUCACCGUCUCAUCUCAUAGUCUCCACAAACAAUGAUUACAAUAAUGAAUAUUUUUGGUACUUAAAACAAC
rnacentral:lncRNA from 1 species